rnacentral:rRNA from 1 species
AGAACGAACGCUGGCGGCAUGCCUAACACAUGCAAGUCGAACGAGACCUUCGGGUCUAGUGGCGCACGGGUGCGUAACGCGUGGGAAUCUGCCCUUGGGUUCGGAAUAACAGUUGGAAACGACUGCUAAUACCGGAUGAUGACGUAAGUCCAAAGAUUUAUCGCCCAGGGAUGAGCCCGCGUAGGAUUAGCUAGUUGGUGAGGUAAAGGCUCACCAAGGCGACGAUCCUUAGCUGGUCUGAGAGGAUGAUCAGCCACACUGGGACUGAGACACGGCCCAGACUCCUACGGGAGGCAGCAGUGGGGAAUAUUGGACAAGUGGGACGAAAGCCUGAUCCAGCAAUGCCGCGUGAGUGAUGAAGGCCUUAGGGUUGUAAAGCUUCGUUUUAACCCGGGAAGUAUAAUGACGUGUACCGGGAGAAGUAAGCGUCCGGACUAACUCCGU